rnacentral:rRNA from 1 species
CACGCUGUAAACGAUGGAUACUAGCUGUUGGAGGUAUCGACCCCUUCAGUAGCGAAGCUAACGCGUUAAGUAUCCCGCCUGUGGAGUACGGUCGCAAGACUAAAACAUAAAGGAAUUGACGGGGACCCGCACAAGCGGUGGAGCGUGUUCUUUAAUUCGAAGUUAAACGAUAAACCUUACCUGGGUUUGACAUCCUUGGAAUAUCUGUGAAAGCAGAUAGUGUCUUCGGAAACCAAGAGACAGGUGA